UGCCUACAAGCAGUGGGAGCACUAUGGAGCAAUCCAGUGUGACCGCGUGCCUUUUGCAUAAUGAGUCAGCGAGUUACCCUCAGCAGCGAGGUUAAGUUCAUAGAACGGAGCCGCAGCGAAAGCGAGUCUUAAUAGGGCGAAUUAGUUGCUGGGGGUAGACCCGAAACCGGGUGAUCUAUCCAUGUCCAGGGUGAAAGGAAGGUAACACUUCGUGGAGGCCCGAACCCACUG
rnacentral:rRNA from 1 species